rnacentral:piRNA from 1 species
UAAAUAAGAUAAAAUAAAUUG